GUCUGCGGCCAUACCACCCUGAAUGCACCCAAUCUCAUCUGAUCUCAGAAGCUAAGCAGGGUAGGACCUGGUUAGUACAGAGACUCCUGAGUGAGUUCUUCAGUUCUUUCUCCCAUCCAGAAGUUCUGGUGCUUUUUACU
rnacentral:rRNA from 1 species